AUUGAACGCUGGCGGCAUGCCUUACACAUGCAAGUCGAACGGCAGCGCGGACUUUGGUCUGGCGGCGCGUGGCGAACGGGGGAGUAAUACACCGGAACGUACCCUGUUGUAGUGGAUGACAAGUCGAAAGAAUAGCUACUACUACAUACUAGGUGAGGGUGAAGGUGGGGGACCGGGAAAGUUCACCCGGGAGGGACGGCCGAUGUGCGAUUAGCCGGUUGGUGGGGUAAAGGCCCAACAAGGCGGCCAUCAGUAGCCAGUCGGAGAGGACGAUCAGCCACACUGGGACUGAGACCCGGCCCAGACUCCUACGGGAGGCAGCAGUGGGGAAGUUUGGACAAUGGGGGCAACCUUGAUCCAGCAAUGCCGCGUGUGUGAAGAAGGCCUUCGGGUUGUAAAGCACUUUUGUCCGGAAAGAAAUCGCGCUGGUUAAUACCUGGCGUGGAUGACGGUACCGGAAGAAUAAGCACCGGCUAACUACGUG
rnacentral:rRNA from 1 species